rnacentral:rRNA from 1 species
GACGAACUUUGGCGGCGUGCUUAACACAUGCAAGUCGAACGGAAAGGCCCUGCUUUUGUGGGGUGCUCGAGUGGCGAACGGGUGAGUAACACGUGAGUAACCUGCCCUUGACUUUGGGAUAACUUCAGGAAACUGGGGCUAAUACCGGAUAGGAGCUCCUGCUGCAUGGUGGGGGUUGGAAAGUUUCGGCGGUUGGGGAUGGACUCGCGGCUUAUCAGCUUGUUGGUGGGGUAGUGGCUUACCAAGGCUUUGACGGGUAGCCGGCCUGAGAGGGUGACCGGCCACAUUGGGACUGAGAUACGGCCCAGACUCCUACGGGAGGCAGCAGUGGGGAAUAUUGCACAAUGGGCGGAAGCCUGAUGCAGCAACGCCGCGUGCGGGAUGACGGCCUUCGGGUUGUAAACCGCUUUCGCCCGUGACGAAGCGUGAGUGACGGUAAUGGGUAAAGAAGCACCGGCUAACUACGUGCCAGCAGCCGCGGUGAUACGUAGGGUGCGAGCGUUGUCCGGAUUUAUUGGGCGUAAAGGGCUCGUAGGUGGUUGAUCGCGUCGGAAGUGUAAUCUUGGGGCUUAACCCUGAGCGUGCUUUCGAUACGGGUUGACUUGAGGAAGGUAGGGGAGAAUGGAAUUCCUGGUGGAGCGGUGGAAUGCGCAGAUAUCAGGAGGAACACCAGUGGCGAAGGCGGUUCUCUGGGCCUUUCCUGACGCUGAGGAGCGAAAGCGUGGGGAGCGAACAGGCUUAGAUACCCUGGUAGUCCACGCUGUAAACGGUGGGUACUAGGUGUGGGGUCCAUUCCACGGGUUCCGUGCCGUAGCUAACGCUUUAAGUACCCCGCCUGGGGAGUACGGCCGCAAGGCUAAAACUCAAAGGAAUUGACGGGGCCCCGCACAAGCGGCGGAGCAUGCGGAUUAAUUCGAUGCAACGCGUAGAACCUUACCUGGGUUUGACAUGGAUCGGGAGUGCUCAGAGAUGGGUGUGCCUCUUUUGGGGUCGGUUCACAGGUGGUGCAUGCCUGUCGUCAGCUCGUGUCGUGAGAUGUUGGGUUAAGUCCCGCAACGAGCGCAACCCUUGUUCACUGUUGCCAGCACGUUAUGGUGGGGACUCAGUGGAGACCGCCGGGGUCAACUCGGAGGAAGGUGGGGAUGACGUCAAGUCCUCAUGCCCCUUAUGUCCAGGGCUUCACGCAUGCUACAAUGGCUGGUACAGAGAGUGGCGAGCCUGUGAGGGUGAGCGAAUCUCGGAAAGCCGGUCUCAGUUCGGAUUGGGGUCUGCAACUCGACCUCAUGAAGUCGGAGUCGCUAGUAAUCGCAAAUCAGCAACGCUGCGGUGAAUCCGUUCCCGGGGCC